AGCAGGAUCAUAUGGCUAAACAUUGUGUAAAGGUGCCAUGUGUGCCCAAUUGCGAAGCAGCGAGCUGGACAUAGAUGUUGCUAUUUUAAGCGAGCAGUGUAAAAACAGGUAAUUUUAAUGCGAGGGCAGCAUUGUGGUAAAAGAAAAAAACUCGAAGGGCAAGAAGUUUCUGAAUGCGCUAGCAGUGUUUGACUUAGUUCUACUCAACAGUGGCACAGAAAACACAUUCAGCAAAAUUGUACUGGUUCCAUCAUAGACCUCUCAUUUAUAAAUAGGGUACUGAAAACGAGAGAUGGCACAUGACGAUACAAGAUUAUAAUGAAGUUACGUUUCCUCACGGCAACUGGAUUUCCCGGCAUCUUAGAAGUUAUGCAGACUGCGUUCAAGUCGAAUUGAGUAUAUAAGGUGGCGCCAUUAGAAAACAGUUUCUUUAUAUUUCGCGAUUUUGACAAGUUGACGUCAGCUCUUUUCGCAAUACAAAACAAACGCACGAAACAAACAAAAGCAGGAGAUAUUACAUGUUUGUGAAAAUUCAAUGAAUGGCUUGGUAAUAUUGGGAUUUGUGAGAUUCAAACCUAUCAAACUAAUGAAAACGAAGUGCCGUGUGUUACAUUGUGAGAGCACAAUGUGAUAUAAAGCCUCCAAAUUCAGUUUGCUUGCGUGUUUAUGCGGAAGACGCCGUGGCAAGAAAGUAUGUGUGUGCGUGUUAAAUAAAUCUUCCCCUUUUUCAAUUCAUGUUUAAAAUUUAAUAAACAUGUUUUUUAUUCCACAUAUUUUCCAUUCACAUAUAAAAUAGAAUAAAAGACUUUUUGCAAG